rnacentral:rRNA from 1 species
GACGAACGCUGGCGGCGUGCUUAACACAUGCAAGUCGAGCGGUAAGGCCCUUUCGGGGGUACACGAGCGGCGAACGGGUGAGUAACACGUGGGUGACCUGCCCUCAGCUCUGGGAUAAGCCUGGGAAACCGGGUCUAAUACCGGAUAUGACUCCAUGACGCAUGUUGUGGGGUGGAAAGCCUUGUGCGGCUGAGGAUGGGCCCGCGGCCUAUCAGCUUGUUGGUGGGGGAUGGCCUACCAAGGCGACGACGGGUAGCCGGCCUGAGAGGGCGACCGGCCACACUGGGACUGAGACACGGCCCAGACUCCUACGGGAGGCAGCAGUGGGGAAUCUUGCGCAAUGGGCGAAAGCCUGACGCAGCGACGCCGCGUGAGGGAUGACGGCCUGGUGUAACU